rnacentral:rRNA from 1 species
GGCAGACCCAGGGAACUGAAACAUCUAAGUACCUGGAGGAAGAGAAAGAAAAAUCGAUUUCCUGAGUAGCGGCGAGCGAAACGGAAAGAGCCCAAACCAAGAAGCUUGCUUCUUGGGGUUGUAGGACACUCUAUACGGAGUUACAAAAGAAAGUUAUAAAUGAAGCGGUCUGGAAAGGCCCGCCAAAGACGGUAACAGCCCGGUAGUUGAAAUGGCUUUCCCUCCAGAGUGGAUCCUGAGUACGGCGGAACACGUGAAAUUCCGUCGGAAUCCGGGAGGACCAUCUCCCAAGGCUAAAUACUCCCUAGUGACCGAUAGUGAACCAGUACCGUGAGGGAAAGGUGAAAAGCACCCCGGAAGGGGAGUGAAACAGUUCCUGAAACCGUGUGCCUACAAGUAGUUAGAGCCCGUUAAUGGGUGAUAGCGUGCCUUUUGUAGAAUGAACCGGCGAGUUACGAUUUGUUGCAAGGUUAAGCGGAAAAAGCGGAGCCGUAGCGAAAGCGAGUCUGAAUAGGGCGCAUAAGUAACAGGUCGUAGACCCGAAACCAGGUGAUCUACCCAUGUCCAGGAUGAAGGUAAGGUAAUACUUACUGGAGGUCCGAACCCACGCACGUUGAAAAGUGCGGGGAUGAGGUGUGGGUAGCGGAGAAAUUCCAAUCGAACUUGGAGAUAGCUGGUUCUCUCCGAAAUAGCUUUAGGGCUAGCCUCGAGGUAAAGAGUCAUGGAGGUAGAGCACUGUUUGGACUAGGGGCCCUUCUCGGGUUACCGAAUUCAGAUAAACUCCGAAUGCCAUGUACUUAUACUCGGGAGUCAGACUGCGAGUGAUAAGAUCCGUAGUCGAAAGGGAAACAGCCCAGACCACCAGUUAAGGUCCCCAAAUAUAUGUUAAGUGGAAAAGGAUGUGGGGUUGCUUAGACAACCAGGAUGUUGGCUUAGAAGCAGCCACCAUUGAAAGAGUGCGUAAUAGCUCACUGGUCGAGUGACCCCGCGCCGAAAAUGUACCGGGGCUAAACAUAUUA